AACUUUCGACAACGGAUCUCUUGGCUCUCGCAUCGAUGAAGAACGCAGCGAAAUGCGAUAAGUAAUGUGAAUUGCAGAUUUUCAGUGAAUCCUCGAAUCUUUGAACGCACCUUGCGCUCCUUGGUAUUCCGAGGAGCAUGCCUGUUUGAGUGUCAUUAAAUUCUCAACUUCACUGAUUUGUUUUGAGUGAAGCUUGGACUUGGAGCAUGCUGGCCCCUUUGGGUCGGCUUCUCUUUAAAUUCAUUGGCGGAGUCUUCUUUGUCCUUCCGGCAUCGGCGUGAUAAUUGUGUUGCGUGUUUGCCGAGGGUCUCAGUCCGCUUACAAUGGUCUUCGGACAACUUAUCAAACCUUGACCUCAAAUCAGGUAGGACUACCCGCUGAACUUAAGCAUAUCAAUAAGCGGAGGCU
rnacentral:misc_RNA from 1 species